rnacentral:rRNA from 1 species
UACGGAGGGUGCGAGCGUUGUCCGGAAUCACUGGGCGUAAAGGGCGCGUAGGUGGCCCGUUAAGUGGCUGGUGAAAUCCCGCGGCUCAACUGCGGGGCUGCCGGUCAUACUGGCGAGCUAGAGCACGGUAGGGGCAGAUGGAAUUCCCGGUGUAGCGGUGGAAUGCGUAGAUAUCUGGAGGAACACCGGUGGCGAAGGCGGCAUCCUGGACCGGUAUUGACGCUGAGGCGCGAAAGCCAGGGGAGCAAACGGG